rnacentral:rRNA from 1 species
GACGAACCGUGCGAACGUUACUCGGAAUCACUGGGCUUAAAGAGCACGUAGGCGGCAAUCUAAGUCAGAGGUGAAAUACUAUCGGCUCAACCGUAGAACUGCCUCUGAUACUGGACUGCUUGAGGGAGAACGGGGAAAUCGGAACUUCCGGUGGAGCGGUGAAAUGUGUUGAUAUCGGAAGGAACGCCGGUGGCGAAAGCGGAUUUCUGGGUCUCUUCUGACGCUGAGGUGCGAAAGCUAGGGUAGCGAACGGG